rnacentral:rRNA from 1 species
AUUGAACGCUGGCGGCGUGCCUAACACAUGCAAGUCGAGCGGUAACAGGUGUAGCAAUACAUGCUGACGAGCGGCGAACGGGUGAGUAAUGCUUUGGAAUCUUCCCAGUAGUGGGGAAUAACCAGUCGAAAGAUUGGCUAAUACCGCAUACGUCUGUAAAGGGAAAGCGGGGGACUCGCCUCUUCUUCGGAAGAGAGGCCUCGCGCUAUUGGAUGAGCCAAAGCGGAUUAGCUAGUUGGUGGGGUAAUGGCCUACCAAGGCGACAAUCCGUAGCUGGUCUGAGAGGACGACCAGCCACACCGGAACUGAGACACGGUCCGGACUCCUACGGGAGGCAGCAGUGGGGAAUAUUGGACAAUGGGGGAAACCCUGAUCCAGCGACGCCGCGUGUGUGAAGAAGGCCUGCGGGUUGUAAAGCACUUUUAGUGGGGACAAAAAGCUACGGAUUAAUACUCUGUGGUCUUGAUUUAACCUACAGAAAAAGCACCGGCUAACUCUGUGACAGCA